rnacentral:rRNA from 1 species
GGGUCAGUAGGUUGGUCGUGCCACCGGUACGUACUGGUCUCACUGAUUCCUCCUUCCUGAAGAACCGUAAUGCCAUUAAUUUGGUGUUGCGGGGAAACAGGACUGUUACUUUGAAAAAAUAAGAGUGUUUAAAGCAAGCUAACGCUUGAAUACAUUAGCAUGGAAUAAUGAAAUAGGACGAUCGAUCCUAUUUUGUUGGCUUCUAGGAUUGACGUA